rnacentral:rRNA from 1 species
GACGAACGCUGGCGGCGUGCUUAACACAUGCAAGUCGAACGGAAAGGCCCUGCUUUUGUGGGGUGCUCGAGUGGCGAACGGGUGAGUAACACGUGAGUAACCUGCCCUUGACUUUGGGAUAACUUCAGGAAACUGGGGCUAAUACCGGAUAGGAGCUCCUGCUGCAUGGUGGGGGUUGGAAAGUUUCGGCGGUUGGGGAUGGACUCGCGGCUUAUCAGCUUGUUGGUGGGGUAGUGGAUUACCAAGGCUUUGACGGGUAGCCGGCCUGAGAGGGUGACCGGCCACAUUGGGACUGAGAUACGGCCCAGACUCCUACGGGAGGCAGCAGUGGGGAAUAUUGCACAAUGGGCGGAAGCCUGAGGCAGCAACGCCGCGUGCGGGAUGACGGCCUUCGGGUUGUAAACCGCUUUCGCCUGUGACGAAGCGUGAGUGACGGUAAUGGGUAAAGAAGCACCGGCUAACUACGUG